rnacentral:rRNA from 1 species
CCUACGGGGGGCAGCAGUGAGGAAUAUUGGUCAAUGGACGAGAGUCUGAACCAGCCAAGUAGCGUGAAGGAUGACUGCCCUAUGGGUUGUAAACUUCUUUUAUAUGGGAAUAAAAUGUUCCACGUGUGGGAUUUUGUAUGUACCCUAUGAAUAAGGAUCGGCUAACUCCGUGCCAGCAGCCGCUGUAAUACGGAGGAUCCGAGCGUUAUCCGGAUUUAUUGGGUUUAAAGGGAGCGUAGGUGGAUUGUUAAGUCAGUUGUGAAAGUUUGCGGCUCAACCGUAAAAUUGCAGUUGAAACUGGCAGGCUUGAGGACAGUAGAGGUGGGCGGAAUUCGUGGGGUAGCGGUGAAAUGCUUAGAUAUCACGAAGAACUCCGAUUGCGAAGGCAGCUCACUGGACUGCAACUGACACUGAGGCUCGAAAGUGUGGGUAUCAAACAGGAUUAGAUACCCGGGUAGUC